GCGGGCGGGGUGCGGGGAGCUCAUCCCGAGGUGGGGAGGAGGAGGACCAGAUGACAGGAGCCUUCUCCGCAGGCCCUCGGAGCCGCUGGCACUGGGUCUUGGCCACCACCCGACCCUCAGAUCCUGACUCAGGAUCAGGCUGUGAGCGGCUCCUUCUCUGGCUGCUCUGUCCGCCCAGGCGGAGCUCGCAAACUGGGGGCCCAGGGGACUCACCCUGGCCCUCGGGUGGGUUUCGUUCGGCCCACACAGAAUUUUUUAAUGAAUGGAGCCAACACUUAAAAAUCUGCAGAUAUGACAUGAAAUCCUGUGUUUCUGGCUCCCUUUGGAAAAUCAGAAGAUCUGAAGAUCGGAUUGCUGGUCCCCCUUCCCGAGAGGCCACACUCAGCUUUUGACAGGGCACGUGCCCCAGUCCCCACCAUUCCCUCUUGCAUCUCCAAAACGGAGGCCAAGGAAUAGGAACUAUUUACUGCCUUCCCCCCGCCCACUUCACCCUUUAAAACCCCUGCCCGGCCCCUGGCGGCACUGAGUUUUCAACCCCUGAGUCAGUCUCUUUUUCCUCCAUAACCACAAGGCUUUGGCCCUGGUCCCAGCCCUGGGUCCCCAAUCUGCCAUCGCGAACUCCUCAGGGUCGCCGUAUGCCUCUCCGUGCCCCUCGAGGCCAGCACCACGCCCUGGGGGUGGGGGAGGGGCUGAGGCUCGGCCGGGGCCAGCUGGACCCGGGGAGACAGGCCCACAUCUGCUGAGAUGUGUCAGCUGGGCCUGGUCACACUCUCUGUAGCUCAUCCCUGAGGCAUGUGGGACCAGGCGCUGUGCUCUCGGCCCGGCCAGGGUGGCGGGCGGGGCUGGGCCCGGGGUUGUGGUCUAUAUCGAGGCAGCGCGCAGGAAAGAGGGAAGGAGGAGGGGAGACGCAGAGCUGCCUUAGCAGAAAGUGCCCAAAACACAGAGGUGGGAAGACCUGAAUUCACACCCUUAAUUGCUGUGUGACCUUGGGCAAGUCACUUCACCUCCCUGAGCCUCCAGCUUACAGUGGAGCCACGGAGAGGCCCCACGUCAGUGGCUGACGUGGGGCCUAAACGCCAGAAGGGCAGCCUGGAACAGAGAAAAAAAAUCACAGGCUUUGGGGUCAGGUUGACCAGCCGCUUGGGAGCCGGGUGACCCUGGGCAAGUCACUCCUCCACGUGGACCACGGAGCGAAGGUCCUGAGCUCUGUUCCAGCUAAGCCCUCCAAAACCAUUCCGAGGGAGAAAAGCAUUCAUUCAUUCAACAAAUAUUUAUUGAGCACUUCCUGCGUGUCAGGCGCUGGGGACACAGUAGGACACGAGAUAGUCAAAGGUCCCUGCCCUGUGGAGUUCCCACUUCAGUGGGGCGAGCAAGCGAUACACAGGAUAAAUAAGCUGUGUAUUAUAUUUGACAGGCUCAGAGCUCCAGAGAGGAACUCAGCAGGACACAGGGAUUGAAACGGGGGGUUGGGGACAGCCCCUCUGAGCAAGUGACCCCUGAGUAACAAGCCGUAGAGGUGAGGGAAGGAGCUGUCAGGGGGAAGAGCAUUCCAGGCAGUGGGAACAGCCAGUGCAAAGGCCCUGAGGAAGAGCCCGGUGUGGGGAGCCGAGUGAGUGAGGGAGAGUGGGAGGAGGCGAGGGCAGGGGCAGAGCACACAGGGCCUUGUGGGGCGUUGUAAGGACUUUGGCGUUUUCUCUGCAGGAGGUGGGAGCUAUGGAGGGUUCUGAGCAGAGGCAGGACUCGGUCGGACUUGGGUUUUCACAGGAUCCCUCUGGCUGUGAGUGGAGAAGGGGCUGUGGAGGCUGGGACGGAAGCAGACAAGACAGCGGGAGGGGACUGCAGCAGUUGGCCCGUGUCAGUGACCCUCUCCGGCCUGCUCUAAAGCCUUCACGUCCCCCCUAUGCCCCUGGACAAAGCCCGGACUCCCUGGCAUGACAUUCAAGGUCCCCAUGCCCUCACCCCAGCCCCUCCCUCUCUCCACCCCAGCCCCCUAGAUAUUCUCUCUCGCUGCUCCGUGAGCUGUCUCUCCCCUGCCCAUGCUGUUCCCUCUGCCAGGAACGCCUUCUUGUUUCCCCUCUGUGACCUGGCUCAUGUGCGGCUCAUUCCACUUGAGCUAGAAGUUAGAAAAGAGAGAGGGAGAGAGGAAGGCCUGUUCAAAGGAGGGGCUGGGGCAGGCCGGGCUUCAUCUGCUCCUCCUCAAAGUCACCCCAGGGCCUCUGCCAGCAAGGGCAGGCUCGGGAGGUGGAAGCAGGGCUAUAGCCCACACAUGCCUGCUGGGUGACCUUGAGCAAGUCACAUGCCCUCUCUGGGCCUUGGUUCUGCUCUGUAAAAUACGAGCAUAAUGAGCCUCCUCAGAGGUGGUUCUGACGAUGGUGUCUGGAUUCCGGGACUGUUGCCACCAUGGGAGUGACGGCAUCCUGGAGAAGCUGUGGCCGCACAUCCUCUUCCAGCCGCGCCAGGCCUGCACAGGACGGGCCUGAGCUGACACCAGGGAUCCCUCGGGGGAGGGACACCCUUGGGAGCCCCUCGCGUCUCCAACUUGGUCGCCCUUGCGUUCCCUAAGCACCCACUGUGUGCAGCCCUGGCUCUGUGCCUGGGUUCCAACCCGAGCUCUGCCGCUUGGUCGUGUGCUCGCCGGGCACGUUAACCCCUCGUUUGCUCAUCUGUGAAAUGGGCAGAAUUACAGUAUUUACUUCCUGGGGCGGUAGGGGAACCGGAGAGCUGGUGUGAGUGACACUCUCAGCACAGGGCGCAGGCACCGUCCACACUGGCUAUCGGAUUCUCGCUGGUGCCGUUUCCCAGCUGUCACUCCCUGUGCCUCAGUUUCCUCCCCUGUGAGAUGGGGUGACAACACUGCCCUCACACAGCUCCCCUGAGGACUGAGUCCAACAUGGGUGAAUGGUCCCUGGGGCAGGGGACGCGCUCAGUGACUUUUUGUGAGAUUUCAAACACGGAAUUUAUUUAAUUCAACGCCGGCUGUGGCCGCGGGUCUGUGAGCAGUCCGUGUGAAAUCCUCCUGUCGGCCCUCGAGUCGGACAAACGCCCAUUUGGUCUAAUUGAAUUUAACAAACUAAAUGAGAGGAGGAAGAAAAUUCCCAGCCUCCAGAAGCCCACUGCGACCCCCCGGACGACGACGAGAGCUACAUGUGCUUCCGGUGAAGGGGGGGGGGCGAGCCGCGGGUCUCAGUGACAUCCCAGUGACUGUGACAUGCAGCCAGGUGACCCCGGGCAAGUCCCUCCCCUUCUGGAACCCCCCGCCUCUCACCGCCCUGUCUUGCUCACAGGACUGGAGUUUGGCUCAAAUCCAUCACUGCUCUCACUUAAGCGCCUCCUGUAUGCACAGCAACGUGUGUCAUCGCCCUCUCCCGGUCCACCCCUCCCUCCCGGGGAAGACUGAGGCUGCCGUUUCUUAGGAGCGGACAGUGAGGCUGGGGAGGUGGCUGGGGACGCGGGCUGCGGGAGGGAAGGAAGUGGGGGGCUGGGGCCGGCCGGACUGACGCAGCUGUGAUGUCAGAGUCAGGCCGCAGGCGGUGGCCGGCCGGUGCUACUGGUGUGCUCUCGGCUGGCCUGGCCCAGCGCCUCCCCAGGGGGGCCCGCCGCCCCCCUUAACCCCUUCCCGGCCUCCCUUUCCCAGACAGCCAUCCCCCGGGCCUGGCCUUGCCCACAAGAUUCCCAGAUUUCACAACUGGGGCUGGCGCUGAAUCAUGUACAGUAAAGUCCGGGGAGAGAAACUGCUGGCUGCCCGCGUCCCAGGACAGGCCAACCGCCAGGCUGCCCGCCCUCCUGACGCGCUGAGCGACUGCCAGGGAGCCAGCCAGCCGCACGCCGGGCGGCUGACCAGCUUGGGGGCAUCAGGCAGGACACACCACCUCUCUGGGCUGCACUGGGAAUCAGGGGCGGUGUCAUCUUUUGGGGACCUUGAAGCUCUGGAGGUCAGGGGGCAGGGCAUGGUGGCCUCUGCUGACCGGGAGCAAGUCCCUUCACCUCUCUAAAGCACACUUUCCUCAUCUGGAGAAUGCGGGUCAGCAUGGGACUGACCUCACGGGGCCUCUGCGAGGACUGAGCGAGCCGGUGUGCCAACGGCGCCCAGCACAGCCAGUGCCCGCAACCAGUAUUGCCAUUGUCACGUCGAUGCCACUGACCACACUAAGACCUGGGGAAGUUCUUCAGUCCUUCGGUGACACAUCCGUCCCCUGGGAUGUCCACCCCUCCCCUCAGCAUACAGUUAUUCUUAUCUUUUAAAGACUUUUUUAUUACAUCAACAAACAAUUAUUGAGCACCACUGUGUUCGGGGGCUCUACCUGGUCCUGGAGAUGUGACAGCCAACAAAACAGAAACCCCUCUGUUCUCAGGACUCGGGUCCGUGUCCGUGGAGCGGGGAAUGUGAGGUCGUUUCAGAGUUAUGGGGGCUCCGAGGGGAAUACAGCAGAGAGUGUGACCGAGGGAGCCUGGGAGGGCCGCUGAGGAGGCGACAUUAGAACAGAGACCUCAACCAAGAGACGACGCCAGCGGGCAGGGUGUGGGGCACCACGGGCGCAGAGGCGGGGCGCGGGGAGCCGGGGCGGGUUCGGGGUCGGCCCGGCCAGCGCGGCGGGGGUGCGGGGCAGGGGGCUCAGGGGGCUCGGGGGGCUCGGAGGGCGGGCACCAGCCCCCAGCCCGCGCCAGCCCCGCACCCCGCUCUGCCCGCCAGCAGCCGGCCUGGACCUGACCUGCACCUGCUCCCGGCGUCGUCGCGGAGGGCCCGGCCCCGAGGCGCCGGUGAGCCCAGGGGCCCGGGUCAGACCCCACGUGGGCCUCCGCCUCCUGCAGGCCCCGGGCUCUGGCGUCUGCAGCUCAGAGCCUCAGUGUCCCCACCUGUGAGGCGGGCACGCGGCUGCCUCGCGGAGGGGUCAGAGCGGGGAGGAGGGGCUCCGGCCCCAGAACCUGUCCCGCGCUGAGCCGACCCUGCAAGAGGAGAAGCAUCCAGGCAUCCCCGGGGACCAGCUGCGCGUGCACAGCGGGAUCAAGAGCCAGGACGCGGUGUGCGCGUGCGCGGGGGCGGGGGUGGGCCUAGAUCCCGACCCAGGACCGGGGGCGGAGGGUCGGGGCUUCCAGGGGCAGGGGCGUUGGAGCCCGGUGCUGGGGGCCAAUGGGGGCUGACAAGAGGCCAAUCAAUAGCCCCAGGGGUGUUUUAAACCCCGUUUAUUUAUUUCUAGCAAAGUCCUGCCCCAUUUCCCAGCAGGGCAAGGAGGCCGGGGCGGCUGAUGGCGUGGGCGGCUGUGGCUCGACGUGCCCUUUUUGCCCUCAAACCAGGCAGCUGAGGAGGUGAAAUGGGGGCGCUGCACAGCGCCUGCGUGAGUGUGAGCAAUGACCGCAGCCCGCCCUGUGGACGGGCCAGGCUCUCAGCCCCACUGCGCAGACGGAGAAACUGAGGCCCGAGAGGGGAGGAGCGCGGCCCAGGCGUCCGGCAGGGGAGUGGCAGAGAUGCGACUGGAGCCCGGGCGGCUCGCAGGGCCCCGGGUGCGGGGGUCUGGGGGCCGGGACGGCGGUCAAACGCAGAUGUUUACGGCAUGUUGGGCCCCCACCUCCGGAAAGCAGCGGGCCUGGGGUUGCAUCAGAAGCGGGUGCGACCCCUCUCCAGCCUCCGCUCGCUGGGAGUCAUGACCCGCGCGGUCACUACGCCCACCUCCCCGCUUUCAUCAGGUUCCGGAGCUGCCGGCGGUAAUUAACCUUCCCGGCUCCCUCUGAAGUCGGCACUGCGGGCAGACGUGUUAUUAAACCCAUUUUCAAGGAAGCAGAGGGCCGGCCCCCAGAUGCCCCGCACCCUGAGGGCAGAGCUGCAGGCGGGGGAGCUGGCAGGUCCUGGACACCCCUCGUUCCUGCCCCCUCACCUCUCAGAAGCACAGGAGCACGGGCUUGGGAGCCAGAUGGAAGAGACUGGGAUCUGCUUCUGCUGUGUGACCCUGGGCAAGUCCCUGCCCUUCUCUGUGCCUCAGUUUCCUCCUUGGUAAAACAAGGAUGAUCAGAUCCACUUCUUGGGUUUGUCUGGAGCGAAAAGCACCCAGCUUACCUCUGACAUAUGUCCUCUCCCUCCCCGUGCUCUGGCCAUGCCAGCUUCCUUGCUGUUCCUUGAACACACGACCCACUUCCCACCUCAGGGCCUUUGCAUGUGAAGUGCCCUCGGCCUGGCGUGUCCUUCCUUCACAUCUCCCCAAGGCUGGCUCCUUCUCAUCUUUCUUGGCUCACGUAUCACCUCCUCAACCUACAGUGCCCCCCUCCCCCUGUUUUAUUUUCAUGAAGCGCUUGUGAACAUAACUCAUUAUUUACCUGGCCUGUUUCCUUGUCGGCUCCAGGCAGGGGUUUGGGGCUGUUCCAUUCACAGUGUAUUCCCAGGGCUCCGCUCAGUGUCAGGCACACAGUAGGUGCUCGAGAACAAUUGCUUUCCCCACCUCUCUCCUCGUUAGCUCCAAGUUGAGCAUGAGCUGGCUGUGUGACCCUGGGAACUGCUUUCCCGGGGGGUGGCCUGGGCACCAUCCUCCUGAAGGACUCAGGGAGCCUUGAAAUGCCCGGACCUCAGGCUCGUGCCUCCCCAGGCGACAGGGUGGGGAGCAAGCAGGUAGAGGAGGGGUGACCAGAGCCCCCUGGUGCGACCCGCUGUCCUGCGGCUCCGCCUCCUCCCCUGGGGCCCGGGCUUUAAGGACUCACUGUGGGCAGGUCCUCACCGCCAGCCGCCCCCUCCCUUGGCACGUCUGUCAGCGCCCUUGGGGGAAAGAAUUUGGAAAGGGGAGGAAGAGAAAGGAAGAAAGCCGCCACGAGGGGAUGGUUCUCACACCUGUGUAAAUAAUUUGUCAUCUUAAAACUCGUCAAAUAUGCUCACCUUUAAUGCCUGCUUCUUGGGCUUGUUUUCCUUGGCAAGGCCCCCACGGGAGUGGAAUUUCGGCCCAAGGGAGCCCAAUUGUCAUCUUCUAAGCAUGUUCCCGGGCCGCAGGCUGAGGAGGGCUCUGGCUGAUGCUCCACUUCCGUCCCCAGAAGUUCCAGAACGUUCCUGGGAUUUAUGGAGCAGUUGCCAGUUCUGGAAGCUGUCCCAGAGUUCUGGAAUGUUGGAAUUCAAGCAGCCUCCUGCCCAUUUUCCAGAAGGGGAACAUGAAGCCCAGAGGGGGGAAGGGGUUGGCCUGAGGUCACACAGCAUGCUGGGAUGAGUUAGACUUUCCCAGGAAAAGAUGGCAAGUUACGGACAGGUCAGUGCCCUGUUACACCUGAAUUUUCUACCGGAGAACUUCCUCCUCCCCCAUGUCAGUCCCUGAGGUUGGGUGGGGUGUCCCGGGACCCUGUCUCCAGGGGUGGGCACAUGCCCAAGUCUGGCCCAGCGACUCGCCUGGGGAUGGACACAUGCUAAACCCGCCCAAGGAAAGUGGAUCCUGGGAACUCUGCGAAGGACAUGCAGCGUUUCCGUUGGACUGAGAGAGCCAGUGAAAGCCCGGAGCGUUGGGGGUGUCACAGGGAAAAGCCUGCCUGACAGAGAUCAGCACAGGGCUGAACAGGGCUUGAACCCCUGGAUCUAGCCAUACCUGAAGUCACACACCCUUGGACUUUUCAGUUUCGUGAGCUGCUGCAUUUCCCAUUUUUGCCUGAAAACAGUUUGGGCUGGUUUUCUGUCACUUGCAUACAAAAGGUUCUGACUGACCGUGGGCCUGGAGGAGGGGAAGGGACGAGGGUCUGGGCAGAGGAGGUAACAUGCAUAGUGACCCCAAAGCAGCAACGGCAAGGGACUUGCAAGUGACGGGGAGAAGAAGGAGGAGGCCCCCCAGGGGAGUUUAGGAUGGGUCGGGUGGUCCAGGUGGGAGAAGGGAGUAACUCCAGCAGAAGGAGCGACCAAUGCGAAAGCUUGGAGGGGUGACUAGGUAGUGCCGAGGGACGCAGAGACGCAAACGGCAAAAGUGAGUGCCCUCCUCUGAACUGCACCAGCUAAAUGUGGGCUCCUCUGCUUUGGGAGCUGCGCCCUCCCAGUGCCGCGCCCGUGUCCCUGCCGUGCCCGCCAGCACGCUGUCUCAGACACGUGAGUGCUCUCCCAGUGGGCGAUGGGCGCCCCCGGGGCUGCGUGUCACGGUUUCGCAGGGCGCAGGGACAGAGCACCAGCUGUCGUCCGGGCGCGUGGUGGGUUCUUCCCCUUGCGAAUCUGCCACAGUCCUUCCUUUACGCCAAGGACAGUCUCCGCGUGGCGCUGACCUGUGUCUAACACCAAAUACCUGCUGAUCUUUCUGGAAAGGAGCAGGUCUCGGGCCCCCUGCCUUCGGCACACGGUCGUGUCUAGCAAGACUCUUGGGAGCUUUGUGUGGGGCUGUGCCACACUCCACAGACGCGCUCUGCUUGAUGCACCUUGAACGCUAGCCUGACUUCUGUCACCAUGGGUCAGUGGCACCUGUUUUUGGACUUUAGAUCUGAUGUGUUUCCGGAAUGUCAUGGAAGUGGAGUCCUGCAGGGCAUUGCCUUUCUUCACUCAGCAUCGCGGUUUUGAGAUGUGUUCAUUUCGCUGUGUGUUCUCAGCACGUUUUUCAGUAACAUUCCUUGUUAUCACUGAGCAGCGUUCCAGCGUAUGGACGUACCGCAGCCUGCGUACCCGUUCACCACGUGAGGGAUAUUUGGACUGUUUCCAGUGUUUAGUGAUAUAAUUAAAGCCACUAUGAACAUUUGCAAACAGGUUGUCACGUGAACAUAAUUUUUCUUUAUCUUGGGGAAAGGCUUAGGGGUCAAACUGCUAUGUCAUGCGGUCAAGUACAUGUUUGACUUACUCAGAAACCGCUAACCUGUGUCUGUACCAUUUUGCAUUGCCACCAGCAAUGGGCGAAAGUUUCAGUUGCUUCUCAUCCUCGCCAGCACUUGGUAUUGUCAAUUUUAAAAAAAUUUUAGCCAUCUCAUAGGUGUAUACCGGGAUGACGUCGUGAUGUUAAUUUGCGUUUCCCUGCUGACUAAUGAUGUUGAGCGUCUUUUUACGGGCUUAUUUGCCAUCCGUAUAUGUUCUUUGGUGUAGUAGUGUCUGAUCAAACUUUUUGUCCAUUUAAAAAAUCAGAUUGUUUUCUUAUUCGUGGCCUGGAGGGUUCUUUCUGUAUUCUGGAUCCGAGUCCGUCCUUCGUCAGAUGUGUGAUCUGCGAAUAUUUCCUCCCAGUCUGCCGCUUGUCCUUUUGCCCCCUUAACGGGGAGACCCUGAUAACAUCGUUGGUUUUCAUCAUGAGGAUUUUUCUGGUUAUCUUUGAUUUGCGGCAAGUGUUCUUUGCUUUUUUCAGUUCUAGCGAUAAUAUCAAAUGUUUCCCUUCUAAACAAAUUUAUUUAAAUAGAAAGUUAAGUCAACUUGAAGAAAAACAUUAAGUAACAGUAGGUCUGGAAUGCAAACCGCACAAAAAUCGGGAAGGCCGUUGCUUGAAUAACCAAAGUGCGGACAGUUCCCAUUCGUUCUCUCAACGGUUAUCAACCGAGCGCCUGCCCUGUGCUGGGCCCCGUCCUGGGUGCUGGGGCACAGUGACAAACAAGAGGAAGGGUUUCUGCCCUUUGGGUCAUGGUUUCCCUACCGCAAGCUCCUCGUCAUCCUUCAGAAGCCAACUUGAAAGGCCCUUCCCUGGAAAACUCACGGCACUGUGUUGCAAUUUCCUCUCCCUGCGAGCGUCUUCCCGGGAGGGGAUGUGUCCGGCAGCCUCUGACCCGGUCACGGAGAGCCUGGUGCACAGGUUCUCAGCAAAUAGCGCCUCACGACAUAGACGUGGUCGUGGGACCCGAAGCCCCUCCCCACUGCAGUCUGGCCCCAUGCAGAGCAAGGUCAUUCUCCUGGGCCUCCCCUUCCACUGACAAAGACACCAAGAGAAGACGCCUCCCGGAUCCACCACCUUCAGCUCCCCUCCGAGCUCUCCAUCCAGUGCCCUCCGAGCUCUCCAUCCAGUGCCCGAGGACGCCUUCCCGAGUGACUCAUCGAUCCCACGAACGCAUCCCAGGCAUCCCUUCACUCUGGCCCGGCCCGGGGGACCGUGUCACCCCAGCCUCCCACCACCCCUCCUCCAGCACACCAGCCUGCUCCUGUUCCUCCAACACUCUGAGCUCACUCCCACCCCCGGCCUUUGCAUAUGCUGUCCCUGCUAUCUGGAACCCUCUGUCUCUAGCUUUUUGCAUGGCUGGAUUCUUCUCCACAUUCCAUUCUGAGCUUAAACGACCCCUCCACAGAGGCCCCCCCCAGGCCAAUACUGUCAAACACUCCUUCUACUUUUUAUCCCAUCAUUCCGUUUAUCUUCUUUGUAGCCCCAAAGACUCUCAUUCCAGUUUAUUUCUGUGUUCACUUGUUUCUUGUCUGUGUCCCCCAUUUGAGUGUCAGCACCAUGAGGGAUUCUGGUCUGUCCUCUUGGUCUCCCCAGUGCCUCGCCCAGCACACAGUAGGUCCUCAAUAAACAUUUGUUGAAUGAAUGAAUGAAUGAGGGAGGCCAUGAGCUCUCCCUUCUCAAGACGCACUCAAAGCAGAGUUAGGCCGUCAGCCCAUGUGUCAGGCUCAUUGCCUGAACGGUGGGACCACAGGUCCUCUUCCUGGCCCCCUCUGGCCCCUGUGCCCAGCCCAGUGCUGAGCACUGCCUGCCAAGCCCACCAGCCUUGUGUCCUGCCAGCUGCCCAACCUGGGCCGAGAGGUCCUCCAUCCUCGGAGCCAGCCUGCGACAAAUUGUUCAUGAAUGGUGGGCCGUGGUUGGGGCUGGCGGCGGCUGUGUGGGGUAUGGGGACCCCGACUGAGACCCCAUCAACUCACAGUGUGCAAGAGUCAUUUCAGCUCCCUUCCCAUCCUCCUGAUGGUGCCACAGGGAAGGAAAGGCUGACCGGGGCUUGUGUGUCUUCACCACUUUCCUCCCCCUGUUCUUUCUUUUUAGGAAACAGCAGCCCCAGCGCCAAGCCCCCAGCGGUAGCGGUUUCUGGUUUUGUUUUGCCCCUUUGUGUAAUUGGCUGAAUGUCUCCAAUUUCCAGUGAGCGCCUUGGGUUGGGUUUCCCUGGAAGCAGAACCCUAAGAGAACAAUUUGAAAGCAAGCGGUUCAUUUGGGAGGCGACCCCAGAAAACACUGGUAGGGGAGUGGGGAAGUGAGCGCAGCCAGCGCAGAGCGUUAUGGAGAAGUAAGCGCUCCGGGCUGUGGGACUCAGUCCGCUGUGGGACUCUGGGAGAUAGUGUAGACCGUGCCUUCUGAGUCACCCCCCGGGUGGGGCGGGGGUGGCCGGGGAGCAGCGGGAGGUGUCCAUGCUCUCCUGCCGGCUUUGAUUGAGGGCGGCUCCCUGGAGUGAUGCUUCCCAGCACUUCCAGCUGCCACCCAGGGCCGGGGCCUGGGGGCUGAGAGAAGCCGCCUGGUCCUGGACUUCUGUUUCUAGGGGGGUUUCUGAUUAGUUUCAAUCUGUACUUGUGAUUGGUCUAUUCAGAGUCUCUGUUUCUUCUUGAUUCAGAUUUGGGAGGUUGUACGCGUCUAAGAAUUUAUCCAUUUCUCUAGAUUAUCCAAUUUGUUGACAUACGGGUUUGCGUAGUCUUCUCUUAGGAUCCUUUGCAUUUCUGUGGUGUCUGUUGUGAUGUCUCCUCUCUCAUUUCUGAUUUCGUUUGUUUGAGCCGUCCCCUCCCUCUUUUUUUCUUAGAGAGUCUAGCUAAGGGCUUGUCAAUUUUGUUUAUCUUUUCAAAGAACCAGCUCUUAGUUUCACUGAUCCUUUCUAUUGUUUUUUGUCUCUAUUUUAUUUCAGUUCUUAUUUUAAUUAUUUCCUUCCUUCUACUGACUUUGGGCUCUGUUUGUUCUUCUUUUUCUAGCUCUUUUAGGUAAAGUGUUAGAUUGUUUAUUUGAGAUUUUUCUUGUUUUUGAGGUAGGCCCGUAUUACUAUAAACAUCCCUCUUAGUACUGCUUUUGCUGCAUCCCAUAAGUUUUGAUAUGUUGUGUUUUCAUUUUCAUUUGUCUCCAGGUAUUUUUUUUAUUUCUCCUUUGAUUUAUUUAUUGAUCCAAUAGUUGUUCAGUAGCAUGUUAUUUAGUCUCCACUUUCUCAAAAAAUUAAAAAUAGAAAUACCAUAUGAUCCACUAUUCCACUUUUGAGUAUUUAUCCAAAGAACAUGAAAUCAGUAAUUGAAAAGCUCUAUCCACCCUGUGUUCAUUGCAGCAUUAUCACAAUAGCCAAGACUUGGAAGCAACCCAAGUGCCCAUCAACAGAUGAAUGGAUGAAGAAGACAUGGUGUGUAUGUAUAUAUACUCCUCAGCCAUAAGAAAGGACGAAGUCAUGCCAUUUGUGACAACAUGGCUGGACCUUGAGGGUAUUAUGCUGAGUGAAAUAAGACAGAGAAAGACAAACACCGUAUGCUCUCACUCAUGUGUGGAAGAUACACACGUGGACAAGGAGAAGAGAUUGGUGGUUACCAGAGGGGAAUGGGGUGGGGGGAAGGCAAAAGGGGUGAAGGGGCACAUAUGUAUGGUGAUGGAUUAAAACUAGGCUAUUGGUGGUGAACACCAUGCUGUCUACACAGAAGCUGAAAUACAAUGAUGUACAUCUGGAAUGUGCACAAUGUUAUCGACCAACGUGACCUCAAGAAAAUAAUAAUGAUGAUAAUAAUUAAUAAUAAUGAUAGGAGGGCAGGUGCUGACAGGCGGCUGGAAUCUGGUCUGUGUUCAUGAAAAGUGAGCGGGAGGGGAGAAGGGUGAGGCACUGACAGCAAACGCCUCACCUUUCAUACUGGUUUCUCAUUUAAAGCAAGAAGAAAAUGUUUUCUAUAAGUUUAAAUAAAACUUUACAACUCAAGUUGACUUAGAGAAAGAGAGCGUGUACACAGUGUACGGGGGAAACAUGAAGUGGCAAAUGCUGCUAUUUUUAAGGGUGUUCAAAGCCCUUAACAGGCAGACAGGGCUCCUUUGUGACCCACCAGGACUGGUGUGUUGGGGGUGGUGGAAAGGCCCCCCGUUCCUCCCAGCUUGCCUUCCCCACACCCAGCCACACUGCCCCGGGUUCCUGGGAGCCUUGGAAAUGGGCCAUGAAGCUUGAAGCCCUUUGUGGCUCGGGGUCUGUCAUUAGCAUCUCGAGGCCUGUCUGUUAGCAGUCUCAUGAAAGAGGAAAUGUGCGAAGAAAAUAGCCAAGACAAUUCUGAACAGGAAGAGUCAAGAGGGAGGACUUGUCUAGACAUUAGAAUGUGUGGCAGAGGUACAGAAAAUAAAACUGCAUGGUGUUGGCACAGAAGUGGGCAAACACAUCAAGGGAAUAGGAGAGAGAGCCCAGCACUGACCCAGACGUCACCUGUCCUGCCCAACGGAGGUGAACGGACUUGAAAAGGGGAGGCGUCAGUUAAUGUGGAAUUCUCUGGAUUCUGUCUGGGCUGGGGCAGUGGCUGCCCGACAGGCUCCCCGUCUUUUGGGCCCUUCCCGCUGACACACCUGCAAAGGCUCUAGGGAGACUAACCCUCAAGGACCACACCGACCCCAUGUCCACCCAGGAAAUCUCCAACACAAGAUGAGUUGGCUAACAGGUGACACCCGGGAGGAUGUCACCUGUGGUUCUUUGAUUGUUCUGAGCACCUGGGAAAAGCCCCACUUGGGUGCUGGCAGGCCUUGACAUCCCCCAGAACUUGCUCACCUCCUGUUACAAGGCGGAGCGGGCCUCGGUCCGGAGCCCUGAGCAGGCCUCGGAGUCCAGCUGGAAUUAACACCAUCGCUGUGAGCAACAUUCUGGUUACUUCCCACCGGUAGGAAUGAAUAACUUACUUUCUCUUUCUGGUAGUAAUACAAAUUUCCCUUUAGAAAUAGUCCUACUGACACGCUACGAUAAGGGGGAACCUCCAGGACAUUAUGCUAAGUGACAGAAUUCAGACACAGAAGGUCACCUAUUGUGUGACUCCGUUUCUCUGAAAUGUCCAGAAUAGCUAAAUCCGUGGAGACGGAAAGCAGGCUGGUGGUCGCCAGGGCGUGGGGUUGGGGGAUGGAGAGCCGGGAGCAGUGCAUGAUGGGUACGGGGCUCUUUUUGGGGAGAUAAAAACGUUUUGCAACCAGUUAGAUGUGGUGGUUGCACAACACUGUGAAUGUACCAAGUGCCACUGAGUUGUCCUCCUUGAAAUGUUAAUUUGACGUUAUGUGAAUUGCACCUCAGUAAAUUAUUUUUAAAAACCAACCAAGCGAAAAAACCCAAAAUCAACUUACUUAAUAAAAAGGACGAAUGGCUGUAAAGAUGACUUUUAAGCGAGGUCUGGGAGACGCCGGCUGAGAGGGCCGUCUCACCUGCAGGCCUCGCCCGGGCCCGGACCGUCCUCUGCUCACCCGUGGAAUCCUGCCCAUCGCUGGGCACCUGGGCCAAGACUCGCCCCUGCAGGGAGCCCUCUCUGAUUGCACAGGCCCAUCUGUGCCUGACCAGAGCGGUCAGGCGGUCCCGGCCCUGCAGCCCUUCAGACCUGGGUGUGAAACCCGGCCCAGUUGUUUCCCAGUGGGAGGGGUCUCAUAAUUUUGCACACGUUGCCCAUCCUCCCCUGGAGGGCCUCAGCCUCCUCACCUGUGCGGUGCGGUUCCUGAGAGUCCUGAUGUCAUGGGGUUGCGUUGCUACAUAGGAGUCUGCGGGCCGGCCCUGUAAUUGCAUUUAUUUGCCUUCUGUUUCUUGGACUAUAAGCAAG
rnacentral:lncRNA from 1 species